CGCCUAACACAUGCAAGUCGAACGAAGUAGCAAUACUUAGUGGCAGACGGGUGAGUAACAUGUAGGUAUCUGCCCUUUGGCCUGGAAUAACACGAGGAAACUUGUGCUAAUACCGGAUAAGUCUUUACGGAGAAAGCUUUAUGCACCAUUGGAUGAGCCUGCACUUGAUUAGUUUGUUGGUGGGGUAAUGGCCUACCAAGACUGUGAUCAAUAGCUGAUUUGAGAGGAUGAUCAGCCACAUUGGGACUGAGACACGGCCCAAACUCCUACGGGAGGCAGCAGUGGGGAAUCUUGCACAAUGGAGGAAACUCUGAUGCAGCGAUGCCGCGUGAGUGAAGAAGGCCCUUGGGUUGUAAAGCUCUUUCGUCGGGGAAGAAAAUGACUGUACCCGAAUAAGAAGGUCCGGCUAACUUCGUGCCAGCAGCCGCGGUAAUACGAAGGGACCUAGCGUAGUUCGGAAUUACUGGGCUUAAAGAGUUCGUAGGUGGUUGAAAAAGUUAGUGGUGAAAUCCCAGAGCUUAACUCUGGAACUGCCAUUAAAACUUUUCAGCUAGAGUAUGAUAGAGGAAAGCAGAAUUUCUAGUGUAGAGGUGAAAUUCGUAGAUAUUAGAAAGAAUACCAAUUGCGAAGGCAGCUUUCUGGAUCAUUACUGACACUGAGGAACGAAAGCAUGGGUAGCGAAGAGGAUUAGAUACCCUCGUAGUCCAUGCCGUAAACGAUGUGUGUUAGACGUUGGAAAUUUAUUUUCAGUGUCGCAGGGAAACCGAUAAACACACCGCCUGGGGAGUACGACCGCAAGGUUAAAACUCAAAUGAAUUGACGGGGACCCGCACAAGUAGUGGAGCAUGUGGUUUAAUUCGAAGAUACGCGCAGAACCUUACCAGCACUUGACAUGUUCGUCGCGACUCUAAGAGAUUAGAGUUUUCGGUUCGGCCGGACGAAACACAGGUGCUGCAUGGCUGUCGUCAGCUCGUGUCGUGAGAUGUUGGGUUAAGUCCCGCAACGAGCGCAACCCUCACUUUUAGUUGCCAUCAUUAAGUUGGGCACUCUGAAAGAACUGCCAGUGAUAAGCUGGAGGAAGGUGGGGAUGACGUCAAGUCCUCAUGGCCCUUACGUGUUGGGCUACACACGUGCUACAAUGGUAUCUACAACAGGAAGCAAGACUGCGAAGUUAAGCAAAUCCCUAAAAGAUACCUCAGUUCGGAUUGCACUCUGCAACUCGAGUGCAUGAAGCUGGAAUUACUAGUAAUCGUGGAUCAGCGUGCCACGGUGAAUGCGUUCCCGGGUCUUGUACACACCGCCCGUCACACCAUGGGAGUUGGUUCUACCCUUAAGGCAAGGUUUCAAACCCUUGACCACGGUAUAGUCAGCG
rnacentral:rRNA from 1 species